GCCUGGCUAGCUCAGUUGGUAGAGCACUCAACUCUUGAGCUUGGGAUUGUGAGUUCAAGCCCCACUCUGGGCA
rnacentral:tRNA from 1 species